ACUAUUUUGGCAGAUAAGUGCAAUUGAUUUAGAAUCUUUAUAUAUAGUUUACUAUAAAUAGUA
rnacentral:tRNA from 1 species